rnacentral:lncRNA from 1 species
CCAUCAUUCACACUCAUGAGUAAGUUACAUGUCUAAUUAAUUUUCAAGGUUUGAAGCCAAGGUAGUGAGGAACAUGAAGAGCCUUCAACCAGGUGGCUGCGGACGUUUCAUUAGCCUGGAGCCAUUUAUCAGCAGUGAACUUUAUAGCCUCGGCCUGGCUAAUGUUGCCGUGAUAACCCUUCCACUUGAUCCUUCCGGAAAGAUUGGCACCAGGUCCAGUGUUGGCAUACUCUGCUAUGUAACAUGCGUCCAUAAAUAGAUCAGUACCGUUCUCUUUCCAAGGGAUCCAUCCAUCCGAAUUAAUAAAACCAUCGAUGAAGGAUUCCAUGAAGACUGUCCUUGAAUUAUUCUUCCAUGGCCUGCCCAAGUAAGUUGGGAUUUGGUCCUUUACAGGGACCAAAUCUUCCUCUGCGAGGAUCUGGCAGUCCUGGAUCACAAUACCAGUGUUCAACUUCUUGGAAUCAUCUGAUCCGUCUGCGGUAAUUGUGUUAUUUUGACCGCUAUUGGGCUUCCUUACGUAGAUCGUAGAGUGUUGGAUCAAGGUGUUAGAUGUUCCAAAGAUGAAAUCGAUGGUACCAGAGAUAACACAGUCGCGGUAGAAUUGCCUAUUGGAUUGAACGUACAAGGUGUCUUGGUAACCUACAAAUUCGCAACCAACGAAAGCAGACAUAUCUCCUUGGUUUCUCAAAGCAACGGCUUGAUGACCAUCAGGACCGAUUGUGUUCCGAAAUGUCAUUGCCUUUGCAAUGAACCCACGUGCAGUGUUGACUGCACACACGAAUGGAUAAUCAAUUAGAAAUGUCAUCCAUAAUGUAUAUAAAAUAAAAUAAAGUUACGACGAGAAUUGAAUUACGUACCAAAGGUGCCGGUGUACAUGGUCUUGAUAUUAGCUAUGCCAUAGUUCCUACUACCGGUGAUAAUGGUCAUUUGAGGGCCAUCACCAUACAUAGUCAAAUUAACGCAAUGUUUGGUGACAUUGACCUGCUCGUCAUAGACACCAGCCUUAACGUAGAUAAUAUAUCUUCCUUUGUUUCCCUUAGGGUAAGAAUUAAUAGCAUCCAUAAUUGUUUUAAAUUGGCCAGUACCAUCCUUGGCAACAACAACAUUAGGCUUAAUUUUUGAUCUCCAUCCUUUUCGUUGCAUUUGAGCCAAAAGCUUGCGGUCAGUAGCGGAGAUCCAUGUAGGGAAUCCUUGCUCAUUAUCAAUUUCCUUAGAUAGAAGACGACGAGAGUCAGGUUUGAGAUCCAAUUUCAAACCGAAUUCUUGGAGUAUGUUGGACAAAUCAGACACAAUGUCAAGAGCAACAACAGUGACCUUUGUCGCGCUGUCUAUAGUCUGAGCAUGUAAUUGAUCCUUAAUUUUCUUCUCACCCUCUUUUUCAUUGUCAAACCCUUCCAUGCAAGCUUGUUUGUAAGAGAUAACUGCACUCAACCAAUUCCUGAGAUCAGCAUUUUGAGCAUGAACAGAUUGAAUGUUUUUGUCACGAACCACGGUGGUGGAGAGAUCAAGACUGUCCAAAGCAAACUCCAUCAUCUCUUUGCAGCCAUCAAGAGCCAUCUUGAUGCCGCUAUCCUUGUCGCCGUACUCAACACUGAGUCUAUCACUCAUGUUAAAUGCCUUAAUGACAUUGUCAGUGGCUGCUUUCAAAGCAGCCGCUAGGUAUGCCUUAGGAUUUGCAGCAUCGGCGCCACAGACAGAGCUAAGAGUUUCAUAGCAGUAUUUUUGGUCUUCUGCAUUUUGGCAAAUAACUCCAAGAUAUCUUUGUUGAGUUUGAAUCUCAGGAUCUUCACCUUUUCUGUGAACAACAACAACAACACCGAUGGCAACACCUACAAUAAGUAUAAGAGAAACAAUAGAUAUAAUUAUCUUUCCUGACAUUUUUUAAUAUUUUGCUCGGAAAUUUUAUUAGAAUAAGACCCCUUCCCCUUGGGUGUUGGGGUGGGGAGGCUUAUUGGAGAUCUUACUGAGAUAUUGAAACAUGUUUAGUUUUUAUAGGUAACACAAAAAAAAUUCAGCCAACCAAAGAGAAAAUCUAUAUUUAGCAAUUUCAUAAAUGAUAGGCACAUAAUUAUCGUUAUGAAUGAGUUGAAAGUUGAAACAAUCUACUGCUAUUUUUUAGUACAGUAGAGCAUUUAUAUUUUAUAUAUGAUUAGCCAUCAUGCGAUAGAUCAUUCAAAAGAGAGAUGUAGAGAAAAUGGAAUGAAAUGCUCCAAUUUGAUCACAAUGAGUUUAUUAGAAUCACAAUUGCAUCGUAAUAUUUUAGAACAUAUACUUUUCAACUUUUGUAAAAUAUUUUAGAAUCUAACAAUUUUUUUUAUGAUAGUACAUAGGGCCGAUCUUUAGACUUUGAGUGCUCUAAACGAACUAAUAAGAUGGUUUUUUUUUUAACUUAAUAAUUUUAUGACAUUUUAUUCAUAGCAAUCGAUCGAAUAUAAUUUGAAAUAUUCAUAUAGCUCCUUCCUGCAACUCUACAACUUCCCAUGAGUUCUUUCCCAAAUAUGGAAAUGAACACUACAACAUCUCCUGAACCCAUAAUCUGUGAGCAUUAGAAAGUAGCCUCAAAUGCAUGGCAUGCAAAUCGGAUACUUUUUUUUUUCUUUAACGAUAAAUUUAUUAUUCAAAUGGAAGAAAGUACAACGAGCACUUUAGCCAAUUACAUAUCUUAUACCAAAUCUUCAUCGCAAACUUACAUGUAAUACAAAUCGGAUUCACAUGCAUCAAACAGCCUCCUGACUGUACAGCAUCAAAUGGUUACAUCUUCAGGUUUGUUCUGUAGACUAAGACAAGCCUGUUUAGUUUAUUUGGUUGUCAUUUUAAAUUAUGUGUUCUGAACAUAAAACUUUUUUGGUUAUUGAUCUGAGUUAUUGAUUUUUUAAAAUUUAUUUUGACUAAAAUUGAAGUAUAGGUAAAAUGAUUUAUGUUUGAAUACAAUAAUUAUAAAAGUGGGUUGAACAAUAAUUUUAAAUGUAAAAAUCAAUUUUUGAAGUAGAGAGACUACAAUUUCUAUUUUCAAAGAGAAAUAAAACAUGUCAAAAUCAAUUAUACAUCUCUAGAAUCAAUUUUGGCAUCACCAAAAGGAGAACCAUUCAUAUAUUGUACUAAUUAAGCUUGAAAGAUAGUUUUUAUUUUUUGUUUUAGUUAAGGACUGUUAUUAAGAAUGAUAAUUCACAAAAUCAAGUAUUAACAAGAGUGAAAUGUAUAAGGCUUGUCUUACCAAAUACUUUAUUUUCUUUAGUAUUAACCCUCUGAUUUCUCGGAGAAGGGGUCCGUCUAUACAAAGUUUAGCGCCGAGGUAAGUAAAAUCUUACUAAGAAUUAUUCCUAUUAGAAUCAAACUCAGAUUUUCCCGAACGAUUUGGCCUAGAGGAAACCCAUUAACCACUUGUGUCCAAUUUUUUUGUUUGACUUGCCAAAUAGUUGAUCAUAAAUGUUUUUGUAUAACAAGUAACAAGAAACUAUAGAGUAAAGACCAAAUUUGCUACAGGUUUGUGGAAAUCAGCACACACAAAGAAGUUCUUUAGUUAAAAAUAAUCAUUUGUUUACAUGAAGAUUAUUAGAUGUGCCCAGGAAAGGAAAACAAAGGGAACACUGGCACUUCAGUGUGCCCAGGAAGAGCGAGAAUAAAAUGGAUUGCCCUUCCUUCAAAGAAUCGGGAUGAGUUCACUUUGCAAUCAGUGAUCAUGUAACUUUUAUUGAUUCAAAUUAUUCAUUUUCACUUACAUUUAAAUAUAAUAUAUUGUAGGAGUAUACUAAGUAUUAAUAACCAUCAAUUGGAAUUGAAGUAUAUAUGAAGUUCCACGCAUGAUUCCUGCUCGGAAGUCAUCAAGGAAGAAAUGGAUUGUGUGAAGGACAGUCCUCCUUUUGCCUUUUGUAAGCCCUGCGUGAAAGUAGCAUAAAGGGUUUCGAUGUUAAUGAAUAAGUGCGAGGUUCAUUUGUAGUAGUAAUAUAUAUACAAAAUACAAAAAAAAUGUGAAACAUAAGCCACGGAAUUUGUAGUCAAGCAAGCACCUUGAAGCAUUGAAGCCACCAAGCGCAACUGUUCCCAGAAUAAUUAAAAGGAAUGGAACUUUAAUCAUGGCAUGAUUUUUUCUUCCUCCAUUGGCUCUUGGAACACCGGUUCUCACAACUCGCCAAUAUUCAGCUGAAAAACAAUCAUGCCACAUUUAAAUAAGGUAAAGAGAAGGAGGAAAAUUGCUUUUAAAUGAUGCACAGAACUGAGGAUUCGGAAUAGGAAUUAACCUGAAUUUGAAGCUUCUCCUUUUCCACCUGUGUUUUGAAUUUUAUUCAGUACUUUGAAAGAAGUUGCAAGACAGAUAUAAAAAAAAGCAGUAGGGAAGAUAAGGGCCUUUUACAAAUAAUAUAAUUUCCCAAUGAGUUCACAUCAAGAAGCUAAGGACCUGUUUUGGUUUCAAUUUUCUCUUCUCAUUUCUAAUUUUCACUUUCAAUUAUAAAAAACAUUGUUUUCACCUUGUUUUGGUUUUCAAAGUAUUUUAUACAUAAUUAUUUGAAAACAGAAAAUAAAAAGCAAAAACAAUGUGAUAUUAUGCAAUUAAAAGUGAAAAGAAAAAAUGAAAAAAAAGAAUGUAAACAGACCCAACAGACCCUUAUCUAUGCUCUAGGUAACUUAAUCACAUGUUGCCACUACCGAAGAUGGAAUUGUGAGACAAAAGAAACAAAAAAAUUGUAACUGCUAGAGUACUAGAACAACAACCUAAUGUUUCAUUCAAAUUAGGGGCUGGGUAGGAAGCCAAAAUAAUGAAAUAUAUAGGUAAAAUAUAAUCAUAUUUACAUAAUCUUUCGCUACAUGAUGCAUAUUUAUCAUAGACAUUCAAGCAUGAAAUUGCCUAUAGAUGCUGAUAGCUCCCAGAAUAUAUCAAGAACAUAGUGGAGCUUUUCGAAAGUUAUUUUUUCCAAUAAUCCAAUCUUCUAGUAGUCAAAGUACUCAUUUCGAGAUGGCCAUACGCUAUUCAUGAUUCAUGCUAAUGCUAUAAGUAUAAAUUGUGAAUUGAACUAAAAUAUCAAAGAUAUUAUUUUAAGGAUUGGUGAGCUGAGGAGUUUAAACACUUUUGUAAUUCAAUAACCAGUACUGAAUUUGGGGAAAUAAUAUAAUAAGGUAUAUAAAAUUAUUCAUCAACAUUCAGUUUCUCCUAUAAUUCCAACUGUAUGUUCAGGGGUUUGCAUACCAUGAACGACGUUUGGAAUAUUUAUUCUGAGUACAAGGACUCUGGAGAAUUACCGGGCAAUAGACAUGUGUAAGCUUCGGAAAUCUGCAGCAAAACAUAAGUUCAGUCACUUAUCACGUCUUCCAGUUAACAAAGGGGAAUUACUGCCUUCAAAGUGUUCUAUGAAGAAAAAAACUCCCAACUAAAAUCAAUAUUACGGAAAUUAUUACAUUGACACACGAAUCUCUAAAACAGAUAAACAGCCACUAUAUUCAUUCAAGACACAAUUAACCUGUGAGGAUGUUAUGACGAACUUUUUAUGUUCUGAGUCACAUACUCAUAUCAGUUUCCUCUUUACAAUCACAACACACCUUAAGCCACAAGAUUAAAACACUAGAACAAUACUAGGCUUAUACCAAAUGUUGUAAUUUUGAAGAAACUAAAUUAGCCCACCCAAAUUGGCACCAGAGAUAAUCAAACCUGAGACCUUAAGGAGGAGCACACUCCCACGUCCCAAGCUAAUACCACCAGACCAACCUAAGUGGGUUGGCUUAUAACAAAUGUUGUAAUAUUAUGUCGAACUCCUAGAACAAAUUCCCCUCCUCUAACAAACAAAUAAACCACUAAUAAUUUACAUACAAAAAAAAAAAAAAAAUCUUGUGAAAUCCCCAAGAUCACCAUCACAAUUCAUCACCAAAAUUCUUAUGACGAAAUAGAAAAAAAAAGGAAAAGAAAUUGAUUGAAUUGCUGACUCACUGAUUUAAACUUGGACUCAGCAAGAGGCUUCUGAUGAGAUGGAAAUAGGUCAGGGUGAGAUUCCCAAACCUUCUGUUUGUAAGCUGAUUUAACCUAAACACAAACAUCAUCAAGUUAAUAAUUAAGAAAUGAUUGAAAAUUAGGGAAACAAAGCACGAAGAUGAUAAUUGGAAAAUUAUGAUAGUGAAUUAAAGAGGGUCGGGAUCAAAAAGUGAAAUUGAGUUGAUAAAGGGAUUGAAUUUAGAUUAUAGAAAUAGAAAUUGAAAGAAUAAUAAAAACCCUAAAAAGAAAGAAGUAACUACCUGGGAAGGAGUUGGACGCGAAUUGGGCGGGAAACCGAGUAGGAUUCUGGCUUCAUUUGCAUCCAUUUUUUAUUGAUUGUUUGUAACACUCACAACAACCUUAAUUAGGAAAAUCGUGUGUUUUUUCUUUUUGUAUUUCUUGCAUGUGGUUUAUAUCUUGUCAUAAGGGGUAAAAUAAAGUCUAGACACAAGACUAUUUUUCUUGAAUGGUCAAUUAUUCUUUUGCAAUUGAUUGUUUCUAUAGUUAAAUAUGGAGUUGAUAUAAUAUGAUUGAUCAGUAAAAAAAAUCAAAACAAAAAUGAAAAUUGAAGCUUAUAAUAUAGUUUAGUCUGAGCAAAAUUUGAUUUGUAUUUAUGGUGGAUCUCCUGGAUAAAAACAGGAAAGAUAAUUACAAAAAAAUAUCGAAUUGUCUGUGUGCCAUCAUUCAUAUUCAUGAGUAAGUUACAUGUUUAAUUAAUUUCCAACUUUGAAGUCAAGGGUGUGAGGAACAUCAAGAGCCUUCAACCAGGUGGCUGCAGAAGUGUUUUCAGCCUGGAGCCAAUUAGCAGUGGUGAAGUUUCUAGCCUCGUCCCGGCUAAUCUUACCACGAUAACCCUUCCACUUGAUCCUUCUGGAAGUAUCGGCACUAAGUCCAGUGUUGUCAUACUCUGCUAAGUAACAUGUGUCCAAAUAUAGAUCAGUACCGUCCUUAGCUUUCAUAGCGACCCAUCCAUCUGGAUUAAUAAAGUCACCCAUGAAGGAUUCCAUGAAGACUAUCCUUGCAUUUGUCUUCCAUGGCCUGCCCAAGUAAGUUUGGAUUUGGUGCCUUACAGGGAACAAUUCACGCUCUGCGACGAUCUUGCAGUCCUGGAUCACAAUACCAGUGUUCAACUUCUUGGAAUCUUCUGAUCCGUCUGCGGUAAUUGCGUUGAAUUGACCCUGCAUGGGCUUCCUUACGAUGAUCGUAGAGUGUUGGAUCAAGGUGUUAGACAUUCCAAAGAUGAAAUCGAUGGUACCAGAGAUCUCACAGUUGCGGUAGAAUUGCCUAUUGGAUUGAGCGUACAAGGUGUCUUGGUAACCUACGAUUUUGCAACCAAUGAAAGCAGACAUAUCUCCUAGGUUUCUCAAAGCAACAGCUUGUUCGCCAUCAGGACCAGCUGUGUUCUCAAAUGUCAUGUCCCUUGCAAUAAACCGCAAUGCAUCGUUGCCUGCACCCACGCAUGGAUAAUCAAUUAGUAAUGUCAUUCAUAAUGUAAAUAAAAUAAAGCUAUGACGAGAAUUGAAUUAUGUACCAAAGCUGGCGCCAUGAUUGAUAUCAAUUUUAUCCUUGGCUUCGUUCUUACUACCGGUUAUAAUGGUCUUUCGAGGGCCAUCGCCGUACAUAAGCAAGUUACGGCAAUCUUUGAGGACAGUGAUUUGCUCGUCAUAGACACCAGCCUUAACGUACAUAACAUAUCUUCCUUCGUUUCCCUUUGGGCAGUGAUUAAGAGCAUCCGUAAUUGUUUUAAAUUGGCCAGUACCAUCCUUGGCAACAACAACAUUAGGCUUAAUUUUCAAUCUCCAUCUUUUUCCUUGCUUUUGAGCUAAAAGCUUGCGAUCAGUAGCAGAGACCCAGGUAGGGAAUCCUUCCUCGAUAUCAAUUUCCUUAGAUAGAAGACGACGAGAGGCAGGUUUGAGAUCUAACUUCAAACCGAAUUCCUGGAGUAUGUUGGACAAAUCAGACACAAUGUCAAGAGCAACAACGGUGACCUUUGUCGCGCGGUCUAUAGUCUGAGCAUGCAAUUGAUCCUUCAUCUUCUUCUCAACCUCAUUUUCAUCGUCAAAUCCUUCCAUGCAAGCUUGUUUGUAAGAGAUAACUGCACUCAACCAAUUCCUGAGAUCAGCAUGUUGAGCAUGAACAGAUUGAAUGUUUUUGUCACGAACCACAGUGGUGGAGAGAUCGAGACUGUCCAAAGCAAACUCCAUCAUCUCUUUGCAGCCAGCAAGAACCAUCUUGGUGUGCCUAUCCUUGUCGCCGUACUCAACAAUGAGUCUAUCACUCAUGUUAAAUGCCUUAAUGACAUUGUCAGUGGCUGCUUUCACUGCAGCCGCUAUGUAUGCCUUAGGAUCUGAAGCGUCAGCGCCACGGAUAGAGCUAAGAGUUUCAUGGCAGAGUUUUUGGUCUUCUGCAUUUUGGCAAAUAACUCUAAGAGAUCUUUGUUGAGUUUGAAUCUCAGGAUCUUCACCUUUUUUGUGAACAGUAACAACAACACCGAUGGCAACACCUACAACAAGAAUAAGAGAAAUAACAGAUAUAAUUAUCUUUCCUGACAUUUUUUAAUAUUUUGCUCGGAAAUUUUAUUAGAAUAAGACCCCUUCCCCUUGGGUGUUGGGGUGGGGAGGCUUAUUCGAGAUCGUACUGAGAUAUGGAAACAUGUUUGGUUUUUAUAGCUAAACUCAAAAAAAAUUAAGCCAACCAAAGAGAAAAUCUAUAUUUAGCAAUUUCAUAAAUGAUAGGCACAUAAUUAUCGUUAGGAAUGAGUUGAAACAAUCUACUGCUAUUUUUUAGUACAGUAUAGCAUUUAUAUUUUAUAGUAUAUGAUUAUCCACCAUGCACUAUUUGAUAGAUCAGUCCAAAGAGAGAUAUAGAGAAAAUGAAAUGAAAUGCUCCAAUUUGAUCACAAUGAGUUUAUCAGAAUCACAUAUGCAUCGUAAUAUUUUAGAACANNNNNNNNNNNNNNNNNNNNNNNNNNNNNNNNNNNNNNNNNNNNNNNNNNNNNNNNNNNNNNNNNNNNNNNNNNNNNNNNNNNNNNNNNNNNNNNNNNNNNNNNNNNNNNNNNNNNNNNNNNNNNNNNNNNNNNNNNNNNNNNNNNNNNNNNNNNNNNNNNNNNNNNNNNNNNNNNNNNNNNNNNNNNNNNNNNNNNNNNNNNNNNNNNNNNNNNNNNNNNNNNNNNNNNNNNNNNNNNNNNNNNNNNNNNNNNNNNNNNNNNNNNNNNNNNNNNNNNNNNNNNNNNNNNNNNNNNNNNNNNNNNNNNNNNNNNNNNNNNNNNNNNNNNNNNNNNNNNNNNNNNNNNNNNNNNNNNNNNNNNNNNNNNNNNNNNNNNNNNNNNNNNNNNNNNNNNNNNNNNNNNNNNNNNNNNNNNNNNNNNNUUGAUCACAAUGAGUUUAUUAGAAUCACAAAUGCAUCGUAAUAUUUUAGAACAUGUACUUUUCAACUUUUGUAUAGUUUUUUUUUUUUGUUGGUUUUUCACCACCAGUUGAAUCUGGUUCGGGGUCAGUUCUGGCAUCAAUUNNNNNNNNNNNNNNNNNNNNNNNNNNNNNNNNNNNGUUGCGGGGGAUCGAUCUUUAGACUUUGAGUGCUCUAAACAACUAAUAAGAUGGAUUGAAAAGAAGGUUUCACUAGUCUUGAAAUUCUUCUUCCCAGUUUCAAUAGUUUUCCUCUUAAGGCUUGUUUUCUUCCAACCUUAGGUAGCAGAUUAUUGUUCUACAUCUGUUGAUGAUCAUUGCAGAUUUUUAAUUCUGUGGCAUUGCUUUCCCUGCUAUCUUUUCUCCACAAAUUGAUUUGAAGUAUAAGGGGUACUCGCCCCAGAAGAAAGUACAAUGAACACUAUAGCCAAUUACAUAUCUUAUACCAAAUCUUCAUCGCAAACUUACAUGUAAUUGCAUCUUCAGUUUUGCAUCUUCAGUUUUAGUGAAGGUUAUUUGCAGUAUUUGAAUACAAUAAUUAUAAUGUGGGUUGAACAAUAAUUUUAAGUGUAAAAAUCAAUUUUUGAAGUAGAGACUACAAUUUCUAACUUCAACUAGAACCUAUUUUACACUAGAGAAAUAAAACAUGUCAAAAUCAAUUAUACAUUUCUAGAAUCAAUCUUGGCCUCUCUAGAAGAACCAUUCAUAUAUUGUACUAAGCUUGAAAGAUAGUAUAUUUGAAAUAGUUAAGGACUGUUAUUAAGAAUGAUAAUUCACUAAGAAUAGAAAAUCAAGUUUUAACAAGAGUGAAAUGUAUAAGGCUUGACAUACCAAAUACUUUAUUUCUUUCGUAUUAACCCUCGGAUUUUCAGGAGAAGAGGUCCGGUUAUACAAAGUUUGGCCGCGAGGUAAAUAAAAUCUUACCAAGAAUUGUUCCCAUUAUAAAUCAAACUCGGAUUUUACCGAAUGAUUCGUCCUAGAAGAAACUCAUUAACCAGUUGUGCCCAAUUUUUUGGUUUGACUUGCUAAAUAGUUGAUCAUAAAUGUUUUUGUAUAACAAGUAACAAGAAACUAGAGUUAAGACCAAAUUUACUACAUAUUUGAUGGAAAUUAAAUCAGCACACAAAAAGAACUUCUUUAGUUAAAGGUAAUGAUUGGUUUACUUUAGCAUAUAUUUAGUUGAAGCUAACAAAACUGAUUUUCACAACAUAAGAAAUCAUGAAGAUUAUUACAUGUGCCCAGGAAGACAAAGGGAAGAAUAAAAUGGAUUGUCAUUCCUUCAAAGAAUCAGGAUGAGUUCACUUUGCAAUCACUGAUCAUGUAAACUUUUAUUGAUUCAAAUUAUUCAUUUUCACUUACAUUUAAAUAUAAUAUAUUGUAGGAGUAUAUACUAAGUAUUAAUAACCAUCAAUUGAAAUUGAAGUAUAUAAGAAUAAAGUUUCAGGCAUGCAUGAUUCCUGCUCAGGAGUCAUCAAGGAAGAAAUGGAUUGUGUGAAGGAUAGUCCUCCUUUUGCCUUUUGUAAGCCCUGCGCGACAGUAGCAUAUAGGUUUCGAUGUUAAUGAAUAACAAUCAUGCCACAUUUAAAUAAGGGAAAGAGAAGGAGGGAAAUUGCUUUUAAAUGAUGCACAGAACUGAGGAUUCGGAAUAGGAAUUCACCUGAAUUUGAAGCUUCUCCUUUUCCACCUGUGUUUUGAAUUUUAUUCAGUACUUAGAAAGAAGUUGCAUGACCAGAUAUAAAAAAAAAAAGCAGUAGGGAAGAUAAGGGCUAGUAUACUAGGACAACAACCUAAUGUUUCAUUCAAAUUAGGAGCUGGGGAGGAAGGCAAAAUAAUGAAAUAUAUAGGUAAAAUAUGAUCAUAUUUACUUAGUUUUUCGCUAUAUGGCCAUACGCUAUUCAUGAUUCAUGGGAUGCAAUGCUCUAAGUAUAAAUUGUGAAUUGAACUAAAAUAUCAAAGAUAUUAUUUUAAGGAUUGAUGAGCUGAGGAGUUUAAACACUUUUGUAAGUCAAUAACCAGUACUGAAUUUGGGGAAAUAAUAUAAUAAGGUAUAUAAAAUCAUUCAUCAACAUUCAGUUUCUCCUAUAAUUACAACUGUAUGUUCAGGGCUUCAUUUGCAUCCAUUUUUGAUUGAUUGUUUGUAACACUCACAAACAAAACACUCACAACCUUAAUUAGGAAAAUCGUGUGUUUUUUGAAUUUCUUGCAUGUGGUAUAUAUCUUGUCAUAAGGGGUAAAGUAAAGUCUAGACACAAGACUAUUUUUUUUGAAUGGUCAAUUAUUCUUUUGCAAUUGAUUGUUUCUAUAGUUAAAUAUGGAUUUGAUAUAUGAUUGAUCAGUAAAAAAAAUCAAAACAAAAAUGAAAAUUGAAGCUUAUAAUAUAGUUUAGUCGGAGCAAAAUUUGAUUUGUAUUUAUGGUGGAUUUCCUAGAUAAAAACAGGAAAGAUAAUUACAAAAAAAUAUCGAAUUGUCUGUGUGCCAUCAUUCAUAUUCAUGAGUAAGUUACAUAUUUAAUUAAGAUCUAACUUUGAAGUUAAGGUAGUUAGGAACAUGAAGAGCCUUCAACCAGGUGGCUGCGGAUGUGUUUUCAGCCUUGAGCCAAUUAGCAGCGGUGAAUCUUUCAGCCUCGUCCCGGCUAAUGAGACCGCGAUAACCCUUCCACUUGAUCCUUUUGGAAACAUCGGCACCAGGUCCUAUGUUGCCACUGGGUCCAGUGUUGGCAUACUCUGCUAUGUAACAUAAAUCCAUAUUUAUCUCAAUACCAUCCUUUAUCCAAGGGGUCCAUCCAUCUGGAUGAAUAAAGUCACCGAUGGUGGAUUCCAUGAAGACCAUCCUUGAAUAUGCCUUCCAUGGCCUGCCCAAGUAAGAUCUGAUUUGGGACUUUACCAAAUCUUCAUCUGUGACGAUCUCGCAGCCCUGGAUCACAAUACCAGUGUUCGUAUGCUGAGAAUCUACGGUUCCAUCUGCGGUAAUUGCGUUGAAUUGAUUGCUCUUGGGCUUCCUUACGAUGAUUUUAGAGUCUUGGAUCAAGGUGCUAGACAUUCCAAAGAUGAAAUCGAUGGUACCAGAGAUAACACAGUUGCUGUAGAAUUGCCUAUUGGAUUGAGCGUACAAGGUGUCUUGGUAACCUUUGAUUUCGCAACCAACGAAAGCAGACAUAUCUCCUAGGUUUCUCAAAGCAACAGCUUGAUUGCCAUCAGGACCGGCUGUGUUCUCAAAUGUCAUGUCCCUUGCAAUAAAUCGCUCUGCAUCGUUGCCUGCACCCACGCAUGGAUAAUCAAUUAGUAAUGUCAUCCAUAAUGUAAAUAAAAUAAAGUUAUGGCGAGAAUUGAAUUACGUACCAAAGCUGGCGUUGUCCACGAUCUCGACUUUAAGAAUGCCUUUGUUCAGACUACCAGUGAUAACGGUCUUUUGAGGGCCAUCACCGUACAUAAGCAAGUUACGGCAAUCUUUGUGGACAACGACUUGCUCUUUAUAGACACCAGCUUUAACGUAGAUAAUAUAUCUUCCUUCGAUUCCCUUAGGGUAAUCUUUACGGUAAGCAUUAAGAGCAUCCAUAAUGGUUUUAAAUUGGCCAGUACCAUCCUGGGCAACAACAACAUUAGGCUUAAUUUUCGAUCUCCAUCCUUUUCGUUGCAUUUGAGCUAAAAGCUUGCGAUCAGUAGCAGAGACCCAUGCAGGGAAUCCUUGCUCGUUAUCGAUUUCCUCAGAUAGAAGACGACGAGAGGCAGGUUUGAGAUCUAACUUCAAACCGAAUUCCUGGAGUAUGUUGGACAAAUCAGACACAAUGUCAAGAGCAACAACGGUGACCUUUGUCGCGCGGUCUAUAGUCUGAGCAUGCAAUUGAUCCUUAAUCUUCUUCUCAACCUCAUUUUCAUCGUCAAAUCCUUCCAUGCAAGCUUGUUUGUAAGAGAUAACUGCACUCAACCAAUUCUUGAGAUCAGCAUGUUGAGCAUGAACAGAUAGAAUGUUUUUGUCACGAACCACAGUGGUGGAGAGAUCAAGACUGUCCAAAGCAAACUCCAUCAUCUCUUUGCAGCCAGCAAGAACCAUCUUGGUGUGCCUAUCCUUGUCGCCGUACUCAACAAUGAGUCUAUCACUCAUGUUAAAUGCCUUAAUGACAUUGUCAGUAGCUGCUUUCACUGCAGCCGCUAUGUAUGUCUUAGGAUCUGAAGCGUCAGCGCCACGGAUAGAGCUAAGAGUUUCAUGGCAGAGUNNNNNNNNNNNNNNNNNNNNNNNNNNNNNNNNNNNNNNNNNNNNNNNNNNNNNNNNNNNNNNNNNNNNNNNNNNNNNNNNNNNNNNNNNNNNNNNNNNNNNNNNNNNNNNNNNNNUUUCAUGGCAGAGUUUUUGGUCUUCUGCAUUUUGGCAAAUAACUCUAAGAAAUCUAUGGUGAGUUUGAAUCUCAGGAUCUUCACCUUUUUUGUGAACAGUAACAACAACACCGAUGGCAACACCUACAACAAGAAUAAGAGAAAUAACAGAUAUAAUUAUCUUUCCUGACAUCUUUUUUCUCCUCCCCCUUGAGUGUUGGGCGAGGAGUCUUAUUGGAGAUCUCCCCUUGGGUGUUGGUUGGGGAGUCUGGAAACCUUGCUGAGAUAUGGAAACAUGUUUGGUUUUUAUAGGUAACUCAAAAAAAAUUCAGCCAACCAAUGAGAAAAUCCAUAUUUAGCAGUUUCAUAAAUGAUAGGCACAUAAUUAUCGUUAGAAAUGAGUUGAAACAAUCUACCACUAUUUUUAGUACAAUAGACCAUUUAUAUUUUAUAUAUAUAUAUAUAUAUAUAUAUAUGUAGGAAAUGACAAAUCUUUGAAUGAUAAAUGACUUCAAGUUGUAUACACCUUUUGUACAUUUCCAUCUGCUAGUGGGAAUUUUUGUUUGUAUAGAUAGAAAAUGGGUGCAACAUUUGCCAAUACUAGAAAAUUGGACUUCUCUAACAAUUUCUUGUUUCUAUUUCUUAUAGUUUAGAUCGGACUUUAGUUCUUUUGAAUGAGUCUAUAUGCAUUCAUUUGUUAAAGAAAAUAUUAUUCGAAGAAUUCUUAGACACUAAAUAUAAAUGUUUCUUUUCGAUAAAGAUUUAAAAAAAAAUUGGAUGAAUCUACUGUGUCGUAUUUAUAGAGGUAAAUUUAGUUGAAUAAUCAUUGGACAUAUAUGGAUGUCUCUUUUUAGAUGUAUAUUUAAUUGACUAAAUGAUUUUAUUCAUAACAAUCGAUUGAAUACAAUUUAAAAUAUUUAUAAAUGUAGCAGGACUAGGAUGAGAACAAUGAGACAAAAAUUCAAGAUUCUUAUUUAGUAAGUUCUUUCAAGAAGCCUUAGAAGGUUUUUUCGCUUGAAGAUCUUCCAAAAAUCUUGAAUUUCUUAGAAUCUUGAACUGGGAUGAAGAAAAAGCCUUAGAAGGUUUUUUUGCUUGAAGGUCUUCCAAGAAUCUUGAAUUUUCUUCAUCCCAGUUUUUCUCCUAAGGCUUGUUUUCUUCCAACCUUUGGUAGCAGAUUGUUGUUCUACUUCUACAUCUGUUAAUGAUCACUGCAAACUUUAGCCAACUAAAUCAAUCAGUGGGAUAUCGAUACACAAAUCUUAUACCAAAUCUUCAUCGCAAACUUACAUGUAAUACAAAUCGGAUACACAUGCAUCAAACUGCCUUGUAGUUUAUUUGGUUGUCAUUUUAAAUAAUGUGUUCUGAGCAUAUCUAUUUUAGUGAAGGUUAUUUGCAGUAUUUGAAAUAUGAACUAAAAGCUUGUUUGGUUAUUGAUCGAGUUAUUGAUUUUGUAAAAUUUAUUUUGACUAAAAUUGAAGUAAAGGUAAAAUGAUUUAAGUUUGAAAAUAUAAUAAUUAUAAAAAGUGGGUUGAACAAUAAUUUUAAGUGUAAAGAUCAAUUUUUGAAGUAGACUGUUGCAAAUUUGCCUUGAAAACGUGAAGAAAAACAACACUAGUCUGCUGUUUUCCGCCCCGGGCGAAAAACCUGUGUUUCGGGCGGAAAUUUGAAGCAGGAAAAAGGGGGCUCUCUGUUUUGGCGCCCCAGGCGGAAAUUUUGGUGUUUCAGGCGGAAAUUACGCCUCAGGCGGAAAAACCUGUGUUUCGGGCGGAAAUCGCUGCAGGGUAUUUAANNNNNNNNNNNNNNNNNNNNNNNNNNNNNNNNNNNNNNNNNNNNNNNNNNNNNNNNNNNNNNNNNNNNNNNNNNNNNNNNNNNNNNNNNNNNNNNNNNNNNNNNNNNNNNNNNNNNNNNNNNNNNNNNNNNNNNNNNNNNNNNNNNNNNNNNNNNNNNNNNNNNNNNNNNNNNNNNNNNNNNNNNNNNNNNNNNNNNNNNNNNNNNNNNNNNNNNNNNNNGACUGAACUGGGUAAACAAUUGCUUCGUGUUUUUUUUUUACAGUUUUAUUACUUAUCUUUUGUUCGUGAUUAUUAUUGCUAUUCCCACGUUUUGAUUGCUUAUUCGAUUUGCUCCACACAUCAAGAUUAUUGGUGUGAUUAUUAAAGAAUUCACAACAUAGACUAUUUUUGAAUUCAUAUACUGUACUAAGCUUGAAAGAUAAUAUAUUUGAAAUAGUUAAGGACUGUUAUUAAGAAUGAUAAUUCACUAAGAAUAGAAAAUCAAGUUUUAACAAGAAUGAAAUGUAUAAGGCUUGAUUUACCAAAUACUUUAUUUUCUUUAGUAUUAACCCUCUGAAUUUUGGGGAAGGGGUUCGGUUAUACAAAAUUAGGCUGUAAGGUAAGUAAAAUCUUACCAAGAAUUGUUCUCAUUAGAAAUCAAACUCAAAUUUUUCCGAACUAUUCGUCCUAGAGGGAAUUCAUUAACCACUUUUGCCCGAUUUUUUUGUUUGACUUGCCAAAUGCUUGAUGAUAAAUGUUUUUGUAUAACAAGUAACAAGAAACUAUAGCGUUAAGAUCAAAUUUUCAUAAAGGGAAAAUCGCUUGCUUUUUAGAUUUCUUGCAUGUGGUUUAUCUUGUCAUAAGGGGUAAAGUCUAGACACAGACUAUCUUUCUCAUCUCAACGUAAUUUGGUAAGUGUUUUUCUGAAUCCUAAUUUAGUAUANNNNNNNNNNNNNNNNNNNNNNNNNNNNNNNNNNNNNNNNNNNNNNNNNNNNNNNNNNNNNNNNNNNNNNNNNNNNNNNNNNNNNNNNNNNNNNNNNNNNNNNNNNNNNNNNNNNNNNNNNNNNNNNNNNNNNNNNNNNNNNNNNNNNNNNNNNNNNNNNNNNNNNNNNNNNNNNNNNNNNNAAAGUCUAGACACAGACUAUCUUUCUCAUCUCAACGUAAUGAGGUAAGUGUUUUUCUGAAUCCUAAUUUAGUAUAUUUUUUCUUGAAUGAUCAAUUAUUCCUUAGCAACUGAUUGUUUCUAUAGUCAAAUAUGGAAUUGAUAUAUAAUUGAUCAAAACAAAAAUGAAAAUUGAAGCUUAUAAUAUAGUUUAGUCCGAGCAAAUUUUGAUAUGUAUUUAUGGUGGAUCUCCUAGACAAAAUUAGGAAAGAUAAAUACAAAGAAUAACAAUUUGUCAGUGUGCCAUCAUUCGUAUUCACACUCUGUAAGUUACAUAUUUAAUUAAUUAAUUUUCAAGCUUUGAAGCCAAGGUAGUGAGGAACAUGAAGAGCCUUCAACCAGUCGGUUCCAGACUUGGGUCCAGCCUGGAGCCAUUCAGCAGCGGUGAAUCUCGUAGCUUCGGCCUGGCUAAUGGCACCGUGAUAACCCUUCCACUUGAUUCUUCCGGCAAUAUUGGCACCAGGUCCAGUGUUGGCAUACUCUGCAUAGUAAAGUGUGUUCAAAAAUUGAUCACCUGACCAAGGGGCCCAUCCAUCUGGAUGAAUAAAGUCACCAAUGGUGGAUUCCAUAACGACUGUCCUUGCAUAUGCCUUCCAUGGUCUGCCCAAGUAAGAUUUGAUUUGGAANNNNNNNNNNNNNNNNNNNNNNNNNCUGCUGAUCCGUCUGCGGUAAUUGUGUUGAAUUGGUUGUUGUUAGGCUUCCUUACGAUGAUCACAGAGUGUUGGAUCAAGGUGGGAGAUGUUCCAAAGAUGAAAUCAACGGUACCAGAGAUGACACAAUUGCGGUAGAAUUGCCUGUUUGUUUGAGUGUACAAGGUGUCUUGGUAACCUAAGAUAUGGCAACCAACGAAAGCAGCCAUAUCUCCUUGGUUUCUCAAAGCAACAGCUUGAUGACCAUCAGGACCGGCAGUGUUCUCAAAUGUCAUUGCCUUUGCGAUGAACCCAGUUGCGGUGUUGGCUGCACGCACGCAUGGAUAAUCAUUUAGUAAUGUCAUCCAUAAUGUAAAUAAAAUAAAAUAAAGUUAUGACAGGAAUUGAAUUAUGUACCAAAGGUGGCGGUUUGCAUGGUCUUGAUACCAUCCUUGCCAUAGUUCUUAUGACCGGUGAUAAUGGUCUUUUGAGGGCCAUCACCGUACAUAAGCAAGUUAACGCACUGUUUGGGGACAGUGAUGUACUCGUCAUAGACACCAGCCUUAACGUAUAUAAUAUAUCUUCCUUUGUUUCCUUUAGGGUAAGAAUUAAUAGCAUCCAUAAUUGUUUUAAAUUGGCCAGUACCAUCCUUGGCAACAACAACAUUAGGCUUAACUUUUGAUCUCCAUCCUUUUCCUUGCAUUUGAGCCAAAAGCUUGCGAUCGGUAGCAGAGACCCAUGCAGGGAAUCCUUGCUCGUUAUCGAUUUCCUCAGAUAGAAGACGACGAGAAGCGGGUUUGAGAUCCAAUUUCAAACCGAAUUCUUGGAGUAUGUUGGACAAACCAGUCACAACGUCAAGAGCAACAGCGGUGAUCUUUGUCGCGCGGUCUAUAGUCUGAGUUUGUAAUUGAUCCUUAAUCUUCUUCUCACCCUCUUUUUCAUCGUCAAAUCCUUCCAUGCAAGCUUGUUUGUAAGAGAUAACUGCACUCAACCAAUUCCUGAGAUCAGGAUUUUGGGCAUGAACAGAUUGAAUGUUGUUAUCACGAACCAAUGUGUUGGAGAGAUCAAGACUGUCUAAAGCAGACUGCAUCAAAUCUUUGCAAUCAUCAAGAGCCAUCUUGAUGCCGCUAUCUUUGUCGCCGUACUCAACAGUGAGUCUAUCACUCAUGUUAAAUGCCUUAAUGACAUUGUCAGUGGCUGCUUUCACUGCAGCCGCUAUGUAUGCCUUAGGAUCUGAAGCAUCAGCGCCACGGACAGAGCUAAGAGUUUCAUGGCAUAGUUUUUGGUCUUCUGCAUUUUGGCAAAUAACUCUAAGAGAUCUUUGGUGAGUUUGAAUCUCAGGAUCUUCACCUUUGUUGUGAACAACUACAACUACACCAAUGGCAACACCUACAACAAGGAUAAGCGAAACAACAGAUAUAAUUAUCUUUCCUGACAUUUAUUUUUAUUUUAUUUUUUUUGCUCAGAAAAUUUAUUAGAACACUAGCUUCUUUCCCUUUGUGUGAUUGGUUGGGGAGGUUUAUUGGAGAUCCCGCUGAGAUAUGGAAACAUGUUUGGUUAUUAUAGGUAACUCAAAAAAAAAUUAAGCCAACCAAAGAGAAAAUCUAUAUUUAGCAAUUUCACAAAUGAUAGGCACAUAAUUAUCGUUAGGAAUGAGUUGAAACAAUCUACUGCUAUUUUUUAGCUAAGUAUAGCAUUUUAUAUUUUAUAUAUGAUUAUCCACCAUGUACUAUUUGAUAGAUCAGUCCAAAGAGAGAUAUAGAGAAAAUGAAAUGAAAUGCUCUAAAAUUAGACCCACACACUUAUUUGCAUGUGUAGUCACUACUAGAAAUUUGUUAUUUUUCUGCUGCUUUGGGGAAAAAAAUCUGAAACAGGUUUCGUGCGGAUUCGGGUUCCAGCUAAAACCUUCAUGGAUAAUUGUUUCCUACGUUUUUUUGAAUCCCCAUGAAAUUUUCCUGCGAAAUUUUCUACCAAAAAUAAGAACAAAUCCGCAGGUAAAUCUGCAGUAAUACCCACAGGAAACGUGUUUUCGCAGGUAAAUUCGCAGGUAAAUUCGCAGGACAUUCUGCAGGAAACAUGUUUCUGUAAAAUCCGCAAGAACUUCCUAAUGAUAAUUUUUUUUAAUAAACAGAAAAAUGUUUUUUGUCUUUUACAAAAUAAAAAUGAAUAUUAAAAAACCAUUUAGUUAAAUUACUCUAGGAAUAUCCUAACAUAACAUUAAAUCAUCAAUGUCCUAAUCAUUAGCAUCCUAAUAUUAAGUAACAAAUUAAAAAGUCUUCAUCAAAAUGUCCUAAUCAUACUUAAAGUCUUCAUCAAAAUGUCUGGAAUCCUGAUCAUUAAUUAAGGUCUUCAAAUUCACUGUUGUCAUCUUCCAUAAGGUCUUCCUCAAAUUCAUUGUUGCCAUCUUCAUCUUCAUUAGUGAACUUUUCAUUGUUAGCUUGUGGUGGAUGAGAAUAAGAUACUACAAAUCCAAGAUGUUGCAUAAAAAAAGAGAGCUUCUUGUUUGUUUCCUUUAUCUCGUGCUCUUGUCGUUGCAAUUAAUGUUGCCUCAUCUGCAACUUCUCUUUGUUCUUGUCUUUGUAACGACUCAUUUAAAGCAUGAACUUAACCUCUUAUGAGUUAGCAACAACACUUGUAUGUGUAUAGUGUACCUAAGAAUUUCUCAGGAUAAGGACACUCUAUAAAGCCAUUACCACAAAAACAUAUAUAGUGAUGCAGGCCUAUCCAUAAUCCCAUUCUUCUAAUCACAUUAUAAAUUCUCUAGUUCUCUCCAUCUUCUAAUUAUAAAGCAAAGGGUAUAAAAAGACUUAUAUAAGCAGAUUCAGCAUGAUUCACCCACUCAACUUUGAUCCCUUUUCCGAUGAGUACGAAAAUAAAACUCUGAGAAGAUGAAUCUUCACCUUUUUCCUUUUUCUAUAAAUUAUAAAAAAAGGUUUAGUGUCAUUAAUUGUAAACACUAAAUUAUGAAAUAUUAUAAAAACUAAAUGAGACAGCUUCAAACAUGUUGUGCUGAAAUAAAUUUCAAAGACAGAAACAAGAAGCAUGAAUUGUCAUUGUAAAACUAACUGAAAAAUAACUGAUGAUACCAUUCUAUUCCAAUGCAAACGAUGAGUAAUUGAUCCGUCGGUGUGAAGAGAUGCACCGGCCAUAGAAUCGCGAUUUCUUUUAUUUGUUUCAGAUGAUUUUUUGAACUUGGACGACUUCCAAUAUUUUGUCAAGUCAUCCCACACUCUCUCUCCCAUCCAACUUGGUCUAUUUUCUAAAUCUUUUCGAACGUCUUGCAUUAUCUGCGACAUCUUAGCUGCACCCCUUUUAUCUAAAUCCUAACAUUAAUUACCUGAAAUAAGUCAAGGAACGUAUUUCUUUGCGUGAGUGAUAAUUGUUUCCAUGAAGGUUUGCCUUCGUCUAGAUGAGAGCGGAUUAUGUGAGCAAUUUCUUUAGUUAAAGGUAAUGAUUUGUUUACUUGCAUAUAUUUAGUUGAAGCAAAACUGAUUUUCACAACAUAAGAAAUCAUGAACAUUAUUAGAGUAAUUUCUUUUGAUAAUAGAGUAAUUUCAAUUACAAAGUCAAUCUAUUUCUCACUUGCAUACGAGAACGGCUAUUAUGUGAGAAUAGAUUGUUUUUUGGACUUCAGAAUAUAUUUUUAAGGCUAAGUGAGAGAUAAAGAUAAUGAAUAAAAUAUGAAAAUUGAAGCUUAUAAUAUAUUUUAGUCCGAGCAAAUUUUGAGAUGUAUUUAUGGUGAAUCUCCUAGACAAAAACAGGAAAGAUAAUUACAAAGAAUAACAAUUUGUCUGUGUGCCAUCAUUCAUAUUGUAAGUUACAUAUUUAAUUAAUUUUCAAGCUUUGAAGCCAAGGUAGUGAGGAACAUGAAGAGCCUUCAACCAAUCGGUUCCAGACUUGGGUCCAGCCUGGAGCCAUUCAGCAGCGGUGAAUCUCGUAGCUUCGGCCUGGCUAAUGGCACCGUGAUAACCCUUCCACUUGAUUCUUCCGGCAACAUUGGCACCAG